rnacentral:rRNA from 1 species
GUUGUAUGGUUAAGUGACUAAGCGUACACGGUGGAUGCCUUGGCAGUCAGAGGCGAUGAAAGACGUAGUAACUUGCGAUAAGCCCAGAUUAGGUAGUAACAACCAUUUGAGUCUGGGAUUUCUGAAUGGGGAAACCCACGUGCAUAAGCACGUAUCCUUACCUGAAUACAUAGGGUAAGGAGGCGAACCGGGGGAACUGAAACAUCUAAGUACCCYGAGGAAAAGAAAUCAACCGAGAUUCCGAAAGUAGCGGCGAGCGAAAUUGGACUAGCCCUUAAGCUUUACACGCGUUAGACGAACGGUCUGGAAAGUCCGACGAUACAGGGUGAUAGUCCCGUAGUUGACGACGUGUGUUCAGUGAAAUCGAGUAGGGCGGGACACGUGAUAUCCUGUCUGAAUAUGGGGGGACCAUCCUCCAAGGCUAAAUACUACUGACUGACCGAUAGUGAACCAGUACCGUGAGGGAAAGGCGAAAAGAACCCCUGUGAGGGGAGUGAAAUAGAACCUGAAACCGUGUACGUACAAGCAGUAGGAGCAGGCUUUGUCCUGUGACUGCGUACCUUUUGUAUAAUGGGUCAGCGACUUAUAUUCAGUGGCAAGGUUAACCAUCUAGGGGAGCCGUAGGGAAACCGAGUCUUAACUGGGCGUUCAGUCUCUGGAUAUAGACCCGAAACCAGGUGAUCUAGCCAUGGGCAGGUUGAAGGUUGAGUAACAUCAACUGGAGGACCGAACCGACUAAUGUUGAAAAAUUAGCGGAUGACUUGUGGCUAGGGGUGAAAGGCCAAUCAAACCUGGAGAUAGCUGGUUCUCCCCGAAAGCUAUUUAGGUAGCGCCUCGGACGAAUACUACUGGGGGUAGAGCACUGUUAAGGCUAGGGGGUCAUCCCGACUUACCAACCCUUUGCAAACUCCGAAUACCAGUAAGUACUAUCCGGGAGACACACGGCGGGUGCUAACGUCCGUCGUGGAGAGGGAAACAACCCAGACCGCCAGCUAAGGUCCCAAAUUACUACUAAGUGGGAAACGAUGUGGGAAGGCUCAGACAGCCAGGAUGUUGGCUUAGAAGCAGCCAUCAUUUAAAGAAAGCGUAAUAGCUCACUGGUCGAGUCGGCCUGCGCGGAAGAUGUAACGGGGCUAAGUAGUAAACCGAAGCUGCGGCAAUGUGCUUUUGCACAUUGGGUAGGGGAGCGUUCUGUAAGCGGUUGAAGGUGUGUGGUAACGCAUGCUGGACGUAUCAGAAGUGCGAAUGCUGACAUGAGUAACGAUAAAGGGGGUGAAAAACCUCCUCGCCGGAAGACCAAGGGUUCCUGUCCAACGUUAAUCGGGGCAGGGUAAGUCGACCCCUAAGGCGAGGCCGAAAGGCGUAGUCGAUGGGAAACGGGUUAAUAUUCCCGUACUUCUUACAAUUGCGAUGGGGGGACGGAGAAGGCUAGGUGGGCCUGGCGACGGUUGUCCAGGUUCAAGUGCGUAGGCUUAAGAGUUAGGUAAAUCCGGCUCUUUUUAAGGCUGAGACACGACGUCGAGCACCUACGGGUGUGAAGUCAUUGAUGCCAUGCUUCCAGGAAAAGCCUCUAAGCUUCAGAUUGUAAGGAAUCGUACCCCAAACCGACACAGGUGGUCGGGUAGAGAAUACCAAGGCGCUUGAGAGAACUCGGGUGAAGGAACUAGGCAAAAUGGUACCGUAACUUCGGGAGAAGGUACGCUCUUGAUGGUGAAGUCCCUUGCGGAUGGAGCUGACGAGAGUCGCAGAUACCAGGUGGCUGCAACUGUUUAUUAAAAACACAGCACUGUGCAAAAUCGUAAGAUGACGUAUACGGUGUGACGCCUGCCCGGUGCCGGAAGGUUAAUUGAUGGGGUUAGACUUCGGUCGAAGCUCUUGAUCGAAGCCCCGGUAAACGGCGGCCGUAACUAUAACGGUCCUAAGGUAGCGAAAUUCCUUGUCGGGUAAGUUCCGACCUGCACGAAUGGCGUAAUGAUGGCCACGCUGUCUCCACCCGAGACUCAGUGAAAUUGAAAUCGCUGUGAAGAUGCAGUGUACCCGCGGCUAGACGGAAAGACCCCGUGAACCUUUACUACAGCUUGGCACUGAACAUUGACCCUACAUGUGUAGGAUAGGUGGGAGGCUUUGAAGCACGUACGCCAGUAUGUGUGGAGCCGUCCUUGAAAUACCACCCUUGUAGUGUUGAUGUUCUAACGUCGACCCCUAAUCGGGGUUGCGGACAGUGCCUGGUGGGUAGUUUGACUGGGGCGGUCUCCUCCCAAAGAGUAACGGAGGAGCACGAAGGUGGGCUAAUCACGGUUGGACAUCGUGAGGUUAGUGCAAUGGCAUAAGCCCGCUUGACUGCGAGAAUGACAAUUCGAGCAGGUGCGAAAGCAGGUCAUAGUGAUCCGGUGGUUCUGAAUGGAAGGGCCAUCGCUCAACGGAUAAAAGGUACUCCGGGGAUAACAGGCUGAUACCGCCCAAGAGUUCAUAUCGACGGCGGUGUUUGGCACCUCGAUGUCGGCUCAUCACAUCCUGGGGCUGAAGUCGGUCCCAAGGGUAUGGCUGUUCGCCAUUUAAAGUGGUACGCGAGCUGGGUUUAGAACGUCGUGAGACAGUUCGGUCCCUAUCUGCCGUGGGCGUUGGAAGAUUGAAGGGGGCUGCUCCUAGUACGAGAGGACCGGAGUGGACGAACCUCUGGUGUUCGGGUUGUGUCGCCAGACGCAUUGCCCGGUAGCUAAGUUCGGAAUCGAUAACCGCUGAAAGCAUCUAAGCGGGAAGCGAGCCCUGAGAUGAGUCUUCCCUGAUACUUUAAGUAUCCUAAAGGGUUGUCGGAGACUACGACGUUGAUAGGUCAGGUGUGUAAGUGCUGUGAGGCAUUGAGCUAACUGAUACUAAUUGCCCGUGAGGCUUAACCAUACAACACCCAAGGGGUUU